GUUGUGUAUGAUUGAUACAAAAAUAUAGACAAAAGUAGCUUCAGAAAACUUGAUUUGAGUGUUCAACUGCAGUGCAAGAAUUUCCAAUCGUUUGUGAAGCAAGAGGUCAACAAAGAAGUAACAAUGUUUUACCAGAAAUUAUAAAUGAUAAUGAGGAAAUUGAUGUUCUCAAGCAAGAACUGCGACGCGUUGAAAGAACUGUCAAAGAA